AGCGAACGCUGGCGGCAGGCCUAACACAUGCAAGUCGAGCGCGCCCUUCGGGGUGAGCGGCGGACGGGUGAGUAACGCGUGGGAACGUGCCCUUUUCUACGGAAUAGCCUCGGGAAACUGAGAGUAAUACCGUAUACGCCCUCUGGGGGAGAGAUGUAUCGGAAAAGGAUCGGCCCGCGUUGGAUUAGGUAGUUGGUGGGGUAAUGGCCUACCAAGCCGACGAUCCAUAGCUGGUUUGAGAGGAUGAUCAGCCACACUGGGACUGAGACACGGCCCAGACUCCUACGGGAGGCAGCAGUGGGGAAUCUUAGACAAUGGGGGCAACCCUGAUCUAGCCAUGCCGCGUGAGUGAUGAAGGCCUUAGGGUUGUAAAGCUCUUUCAGCUGGGAAGAUAAUGACGGUACCAGCAGAAGAAGCCCCGGCUAACUCCGUG
rnacentral:rRNA from 1 species